UCGGCGCGGGCCCAGCCUGAAGCCUCCGGCUGCGCAGCUCGCAGAGCCGACCCCGCGAGCGGGUGACGCCGAGCGACUGCUUCAAGGUUACCUGCGACGCGGAGCGAGGCCGGGCCGGCAACCUGGCUUUGACCCCGCCGCGAGUCCUGAGAGAUGGGUCUCCUCGGCUGCGGGCGACGCGCCAGGUUACCCAGGAGACGGGUUAUUUGGAAGUGGGAAGGGCAGGUUUGUGGGGGGCACUCCGGGCACCUCCCACUACCCCUCUGGAGGCCGACCUGAACACCUAGGCACAGUGAGGGUCACGGAGGUGGGAGCGCCGGGAGGUGGGAGGUGUGGGGCUGGUGCGCGAGCUCAGCCAGAUGCUCGGGGCGGCUUCAGCUGUGCCUCCGGGCUGGGGACAGGACUCUCUUCCUCCCCAACCCCCAGCCUGGAGCUCAGAUCUGUAAACAAAUUCUCGGUUCAACCCCGUCCCCCGCCGCUCCUGGGAGCCGGUCUCCGAGAAGGCGUCCGCCCCCACCCCGCAAUCUGCUAGGAGCCGCCGUAGUUCCCUGCCUUAUGCCACCCUCUCCGGCCCCGCCACACACACCCUCUGCCGCAAGAUCCAAGUCGCCCACCCCCGGGAUGGCUCGGGCAUGACCUCAUCUGCGGGCCGACUGGGAGGGAGGGCGUCGAAUCGGGGGAAGAGGGCCGUGAAGCCUCGCGGCGGGCGAGAAACUGCACAGCCACCUCCAUCACUCAUCUGCGUAAAGCCCGCGCCCCCAGCCCCGCGGCUGCGCCUCGUAAGGGAGGCUCCUCGGAGCGCAGCGGAGCAGAGCUCAAAUAACCACCGUGGCCACUCAGGCUGGCAGGCUCUUGCUCCUGGACGUGCAGAGCGGCAGGCCUGGAGGCCGGGAAGGAGGGAGCGAUGACCAAGACUUCCUGGAACACCGCUUGUUCUUACGACAAACCCGCUAAUGUGGCCUGUAAGUAGGACGCUCAGGGCCUCGGCACUGCCUGGAACCUCUGCCCGCCCCACACCAUCACCAGCAUCUCUCCACGCCCCUUCAUUGUUCCUACUCGUCCUCAGAACUCAGCUCAAGCCACGCCAGUGCCCUUGCCUCCAGACCAGCUUCGGGCCUGAAGGAGGGGCUCAGGUUGGACUCACUGAUGAGUGAUGGCAAUGUGAACGUCACUGUGGUGGAUCACAGAGAGUCUGAACUGGAAGGAACCCUAGAGAUCAUGAGAUAGCAUGAGGAGAGGGCACGGCCCUGGACCAAGAGAAGCUGAAAGACUGAGAUAGGCUGCGGGGAAACCACUUGGUCAAGUCCAAGUCUUCAUUCUACAGUGGAAGAAACUGAGAGGGCAGGGAUUGGCCCAAGGUCACACAGAGUCGAUCCACAAACUAGGCAGGGCUGGGUGCAGGCUCCCGAGUCCUGGCGGGGAGUAUUUCCUACUGUAUCCUGCACUUAAGCAGUUCCGUUUGGGCGGAAGCUCUGCUGUUCGGGAAGAGACGCCAGGCCUUUCCAGAAUCCGG
rnacentral:lncRNA from 1 species